AUAGUGUAUUGUACCUUGAAGGCAUUUGAAAUAAAUUAAGCCCUUAGAAUCUUUUUGUUAUUAAAAAGAUUGGAUGGUUCCUACCACAGACCUAAGAGCUAUUUAAUGAUUGGAAAAUUUUCCUGGCAUUCGUUAAUGCGAAUUUUUAAAUGGGAGAGGCAGCUUCGCUGUGCUGGUUGAAAUGAAUCCAUCGUCAAACUUGCCCCACACGUUUUCUUGGGAUUAGAGGGGAGUAAGUUUAAGAUCUGAGGGUAGCCUCGUAACCAAAAACUCCGUCCAAGCAGGCUUUUUGCGCCCCCCUGUUUGGUAGGGUAGGGUAAGCGACAUUGGCACGACCGUCGGGUCCACAACUGAAAGGUGGACCUCUGGGCCUUUUCCAAGUUGUAUUAUUUCUCGGCAUGCAUUUGUUUUUUUUGUCGCGCAACAGGUCGUUUUUGCCGUUUUUUUUGGUUUUGUUCGCGGAAUGCAAGUUGGCUUGUUUUUUAGAAAUUUUUUCAAAAAAAUCUGGAGCUUGUAUCAAAAGUCGAUGAACGUAAUAUUAAAGACUGAUAUAGGUCGCGGUGAUUGUUUCCAGCGAAAGACUGUGUUCACGCUCAAAUUUAAUUUUUCGAGGUUUGAUUCGCGGAAGAGAAAUUUUAUCUUUUGGUCCGGUGUUUUCAAAUUGAGUUAAUUCUAUCAAAAAAGUGUCAAUCAGAAACUGUUCCUAGAAUUCAAAAGGCUUCAAAACCUUUUUUCCCAAGAAAUUUUUUCACGCUCAAGUUUGAUUCUUUGCGGUUUGGUUUGACUUAUGAUUUUCUUUAAGUUCAGUCACGUUUUCUUUGUUACAAGGAAAGCAAACUCCACUAUCGAGCGGUGACAGUGUAAACGUCACGAAAAGUGUAAUCGAAUUGUAGCUUCGACAGUGGAAUUCAAUUUUCAGAUAUGCCUGCGGAAUAAAAAGUUUGCCUCUUGAUCCAGUUUUCUCAAAUUGGGCCCACGAAACAGACCAGAGAAGAGAACAUAUUUGCCAAUGAGCUGACAAUGUGAAAUAGAAUGAAGGAGGAAGUGGCUCUAAGCGUCUCGUCUUUAAUGUCUGCUGAAUUGAAGACUGAAAUUCCCUCGUCGUCUAGCAGUUUCAGCUGUCUAACAUGUAUGGACAUGUUGGGAAUGCAUGUGAGCCAUACCUGAAAUAUGAAGCAUCGAGUUUUGAUCCUUAAUACUAAAUAAUGGACGUUAUAUCUUAUACAGCGGUUGGCUUAAGUAACUUGAAUAAAUGGUGUUAAUUGAUCAGUAUUUCCCAAUUAAAUGUAAUUUCAGAACCUUCUGUUGUUUUCAUUUUUAUCUCUUUCGGUUUUUAUUGCAAAAAAUAUAUUUUUUCUCGAUUUA